GCGGCGAGGCGGGCGGCGGCGGCGAGGCGGUCGGCGGCGGCGCGGCGGAGAGGCGGACAGCGGCGGAGAGGCGGACAGCGGCGGAGAGGCGCACAGCGGCGGAGAGGCGCACAGCGGCGGCGAGGCGCACAGCGGCGGCGCAGGCGCGGAGAGGCGCAGGCCCAGGCUCCACUCCCCAGCUGUGAAAGGGAGCUCUACGGUGACUUUGAAGACUUGGAAACAGGACGUGCACAAGGGAAAAUCGGGCCCCGACACUCAGAAUGAAGAUAUAGAGAAACAAGGAAGAAAUUGACCCCGACGAAGAAGAAAGUGCCAAGAAAAAGCAUUUGGAUAAGAAGAGAAAAUUGAAGGAGAUGUUUGAUGCAGAAUAUGAUGAAGGAGAAAGCACAUAUUUUGAUGAUCUUAAAGGAGAAAUGCAGAAAGAAGCACAGGAGAAUGGGAGCAGAGGAACUGGAGGCUGCAACUGUGGAAAACUUUUGUGGGGUUU
rnacentral:lncRNA from 1 species